GAUGAACGCUGGCGGCGUGCCUAAUACAUGCAAGUCGAGCGAAUGGAUUAAGAGCUUGCUCUUAUGAAGUUAGCGGCGGACGGGUGAGUAACACGUGGGUAACCUGCCCAUAAGACUGGGAUAACUCCGGGAAACCGGGGCUAAUACCGGAUAACAUUUUGAACCGCAUGGUUCGAAAUUGAAAGGCGGCUUAGGCUGGCACCUAUGGAUGGACCCGCGUAGCAUUAGCUAGUUGGUGAGGGAACGGCUGACCAAGGCAACGAGGCGUAGCCGACCUGAGAGGGUGAUCGGCCACACUGGGACUGAGACACGGCCCAGACUCCUACGGGAGGCAGCAGUAGGGAAUCUUCCGCAAUGGACGAAAGUCUGACGGAGCAACGCCGCGUGAGUGAUGAAGGCUUUCGGGUCGUAAAACUCUGUUGUUAGGGAAGAACAAGUGCUAGUUGAAUAAGCUGGCACCUUGACGGUACCUAACCAGAAAGCCACGGCUAACUACGUGCCAGCCGCCGCGGUAA
rnacentral:rRNA from 1 species